AGCAGUGAGGAAUAUUGGACAAUGGAGGAGACUCUGAUCCAGCCAUGCCGCGUGUAGGAAGAAUGCCCUAUGGGUUGUAAACUACUUUUAUACAGGAAGAAACACUGGUAUGUAUACCAGCUUGACGGUACUGUAAGAAUAAGGACCGGCUAACUCCGUGCCAGCAGCCGCGGUAAUACGGAGGGUCCAAGCGUUAUCCGGAAUCAUUGGGUUUAAAGGGUCCGCAGGCGGUCAAUUAAGUCAGAGGUGAAAUCCCAUAGCUUAACUAUGGAACUGCCUUUGAUACUGGUUGACUUGAGUCAUAUGGAAGUAGAUAGAAUGUGUAGUGUAGCGGUGAAAUGCAUAGAUAUUACACAGAAUACCGAUUGCGAAGGCAGUCUACUACGUAUGUACUGACGCUCAUGGACGAAAGCGUGGGGAGCGAACAGGAUUAGAUACCCUGGUAGUCCACGCCGUAAACGAUGGAUACUAGUUGUUGGGAUUUAUCUCAGUGACUAAGCGAAAGUGAUA
rnacentral:rRNA from 1 species